CCCAAGUCAGAACAUCUAUACUCGAGAGAACUUCUCGCGUGCCCUACCGCUUUGUGACUUAUACCUACUGUUGCCUCGGCGCAGGCGGCCCUUUUGUGACAAAGGCCCCCUGGAGACAGGGAGCAGCCCGCCGGCGCCAACUAAACUCUUGUUUCUAUAGUGAAUCUCUGAGUAAAAACAUAAAUGAAUCAAAACUUUCAACAACGGAUCUCUUGGUUCUGGCAUCGAUGAAGACGCAGCGAAAUGCGAUAAGUAAUGUGAAUUGCAGAAUUCAGUGAAUCAUCGAAUCUUUGAACGCACAUUGCGCCCUCUGGUAUUCCGGAGCAUGCCUGUCCGAGCGUCAUUUCAACCCUCAAGCCUUGCUUGUUGAUGGGGCACUGCCUGUUACAGGCAGGCCCUGAAAUCUAGUGGCGAGCUCGCAGGACCCCGAGCGUAGUAGUUAUAUCUCGCUCUGGAAGGCCCUGGCGGUGCCCUGCCGUUAAACCCCCAACUUCUGAAAUUUGACCUCGGAUCAGGUAGGAAUACCCGCUGAACUUAAGCAUAUCAUAUAAAGCGAGGACUCCUGCAGUUUCCCUAGCGAGAACCUAGUUCCACGUACGAGAUCG
rnacentral:rRNA from 1 species